CUGUGAUGCAUAUAUAAACCCCACCCAUGAAGGUAUUCAAGGUGAAUUGCAAUCAUGGGAAAGACAAAGGAGUUUCCACAAAAGCUGAGAGAGGAGAUUAUUUCAUCACACGUGAAGGGCCUUGGGUAUAAGAAAAUUUCCCAAAAAAUUAACAUUCCAAGAGACACCAUUGGGAGCAUUAUAAGGAGGUUUAAAACUUCUGGAACAGCUACAGAUCUGCCUGACUGUGGAAGAAAGCCCAAAAUUUCAUCAAGGGCAUUUAGCAACUUAGUCAGGACAACUAAGAAAAACCCACCCCCAAACAUCACUGAGGCUUUUCCACGUGAAGAAUGGGCAAAGAUUCCAAUCGAGAAUUCCCAUCUGUCGUUUUUCUUCUCCUUUGCCCUGAGGGUCUAAUCCUCAUCCUUCCUCCCUCCAGCACCAGUCUCCCUACAGUACCUGUAUCCUCCAUUCCUGUGGCUUCGACACUCUUUACCUCAGUAUAUACCCCAGUAUCACCUCUAUACCCAGGCUCACUUUCCCAACUGCUCCUCUUUCAAGGAAAGACACCAUGUGCAAAUGUAAAUGAGGAUAUACUGCAAUGCGCAUCCAUGUUACUUCAUUCUUUUAUGAAUUUGUUUGCUCAUGACAGCAUGAUCAGAUUUUAUCAAGCCAUGUUUAUGAUUCUGGAAAACAUGAUUAGUUUCAUUAUGGAUUAUUUCCUUACUAACUGAUUUGUUUAUAAAAUCAUAGUUUCGUGAAGUCCAAGGUGAUGUCUUAAGAUUUUGUCUGACCAACAGUCCGGAAAGAUAUACUUACUAUUAUACUAAUUUACUAUUACGUAAGACAAAAAUCUACAAAUGACAACUUGAAACUUGGGAAAGUUCUGGAUUAAAAGUGAAUGAAAUGUUG